AUACUUUUCUGGCUGGGGAGAAGCCAUGAUCUCAAAGGUGGCUUUCCCAGGGUGUGGUGUAUCCAUUGCACGCUGGGUGUGCUGACCCCUGGGAUUUCUCCAAAUGUGGGAAACUCGAAUGCAUAGUUUGUGAUCCUGGGGGACAGUGUUCAUGCUUUCCCUGA
ensembl:snRNA U1 U1 spliceosomal RNA